CGCCUUGCCAGCCCGCUCAGAAACUCAAAGGAAGUUGACGGGGCCCGCACAAGCGGUGGAGUAUGUGGUUUAAUUCGAUGCAACGCGAAGAACCUUACCUGGUCUUGACAUCCCGGAGACCCUUAGGAAACUAGGGGGUGCUUCCAUCUGGAAGAAUCUGGAGACAGGUGCUGCAUGGCUGUCGUCAGCUCGUGUCGUGAGAUGUUGGGUUAAGUCCCGCAACGAGCGCAACCCUUGCCUUUAGUUGCCAGCAGUUCGGCUGGGCACUCUAAAGGGACUGCCGGUGUUAAACCGGAGGAAGGUGGGGAUGACGUCAAGUCCUCAUGGCCUUUAUGACCAGGGCUACACACGUACUACAAUGGCCGAUACAAAGGGCAGCGACACUGCGAGGUGAAGCCAAUCCCGUAAAAUCGGUCUCAGUCCGGAUUGGAGUCUGCAACUCGACUCCAUGAAGUUGGAAUCGCUAGUAAUCGUGGAUCAGCAUGCCACGGUGAAUACGUUCCCGGGCCUU
rnacentral:rRNA from 1 species